CCUACGGGCGGCAGCAGUAGGGAAGAGUGCUCAAUGGGGGAAACCCUGAAGCAGCAACGCCGCGUGGAGGAUGAAGGUUUUCGGAUUGUAAACUCCUUUUGUUAGAGAAGAGAAUGACGGUAUCUAACGAAUAAGCACCGGCUAACUCCGUGCCAGCAGCCGCGGUAAUACGGAGGGUGCAAGCGUUCCUCGGAAUCACUGGGCGUAAAGAGCGCGUAGGCGGGAUAGCAAGUCAGAUGUGAAAUCCUAUGGCUUAACCAUAGAACUGCAUUUGAAACUGUUAUUCUAGAGUAUGGGAGAGGUCGGUGGAAUUCUUGGUGUAGUGGUCAAAUCCGUAGAGAUCAAGAGGCAUACUCAUUGCGAAGGCGACCUGCUAGACCAUACCUGACGCUGAUGCGCGACAGCGUGGGGAGCAAACAGGAUUAGAUACCCGUGUAGUC
rnacentral:rRNA from 1 species